CAGCCCCCGGGGUCCGCAGCUGGGGGGCGGCCGGUAUGUGUUGUUCCCCCAUUUCUGGAAGGACAGGAGGCUCCAGCCCCUGCGGCUUCCUGCUCCCGCCCGGCUGGCGGAGAUGAGAGCCGGCUGCAGAGCUGGGAGUCAGGCAGCAGCACACAGAACAAACAGAAUUUUUUUUUGCAACUAGAGGGGGAAGCACAGAGCUAAAAAUAAAACGAAAAGAUCAGUAUCUGUCAGUCUGACAGCUGAUUGGCUGCUCGGAGAUGCAUAUAAUUACCAGCAACUGGCGCUGGGUAGGCAAAGCCCGGAGAAACUGCUGAGAUGAGGUUAGGAUUUAACCUUUACAUUCUGGAACCACCGGAAGCCGAGGGGAGGACGACGGGCGUCGGUGCUAAUGAGGCUGGGGGUGGGCGGGGGGCGGGGGGGCCGCCGAGUCCGAGGGAGGUCCCGGGGGCUCCUCCGGGAAGGCCCCCGGAGCCCUCCGCCCUGACUGCCUCCUCCAUCAGACUGGGAGUGCAUCUGAUUGGGCGGCCUGGAGGCAGUGGUCCUUCUCCCCGCCCAGCUGGGGGUGGUGUCUUUUGGGAAGCCCGGGUCUCACCCCGGACUGAGUGAGGGGGCUGUCUAGGGCCCUGGACUGGCCUCCUGUGGAGGCCCACCCCAUCCCCACCCACAUUCCUCGGCCUUUCCCUGCUGGGUGUUGGUUUCUGCCACCCAUGCGGGGCUCCCUCCAUCGUCACCCAGUCACCUGCUCCUCGCUGUUUCCUGCCCUACCUGGGGAGGGCAUCUGAGCGCCUCCAGCUUGUCCUAGAUCCCCAGAGAGAGACGAAGACGGCAGGACUGGAGGGAUGCCUCAGUUUCUUCACCAGUAAAAUGGGGGUGAUGUUAGCAGGCCCACUGACCACGCUGCAGACCUGUGGGUGCGGGGCCCCGGCUUACAUCUUGAUUCUUGCCUGAGGUGGGAGUCUGGAGGUGUAGACUCUAAUCCCAGCCGGGGUUGGUCCCUUUCUCUCUUAGGACUGGUCUCCCCAUCUGUGAAUUGAGAGUAAGAGCUCUCCUCCUCUGACCUCCCAAGGGGGCGCGGCGCUCCAAGUGGGAUGGUGGAGGUGAGUGGGGAGGUAAUGGUGGAGGUGAGGGUAGGAGAGAACUUCUUUCUGUUCCAGGAACCCACCACUUUCUCCCUCCUGGGCCUCUGCCUGGAACUCCCUUCCUUCCUCUUCAACCCUUCCCUUCCGUGCCUUUCCUCUGGGAAGCCCUCCCUGACACCCCAGCUGGUCCUCUUGUGCCGUGCUGGGCGGUCUCACCUUCUGCUCAGGGCCCCUCGGGAUAGGAGACAUGCAGGUCCCCGAUGUGGGGCCUACCCUGUGGCCCUGGCAGCCACCUUGGGCCACACUGCCCAGGCUUAGGGCAAUCAGUGGCCUCGGUCGGUGGGGGGCCAUCUUUCCCAUGUCUCAGCAGGCCCCCAGUGCCUGGGGAACCCCUGGCCCAGCCCUCUGAGCACAGACAUGUUGAGGUGACACCCCGGGGACGCUGCCUCUGUGCAGGAGGGAGGGGAGGGAGAAUGCCACCUUAAUGUCAGGGCCCUGGCCCUUGCUGCCCCCUCCUCAGAAAGUUCCAGAGUUUGCCUGCCCAGCACUGGUCCUUUUCCCAUGCUCCGUGCGGCUGGUGGUGGAGGUGCCUGGGUGCCAGGACCUGGCCAGCCCAGACUCACCAACAGGAGACCCUGUCCAGAGCUCCUUAACCGCGGUGGGAUGCAGAGGGCAGGUGGGGGAGGGCAGAAGAAGGAGAUCGGCGUGGUUUGCACUCAUACUUCCCAGCCUGGCUCUGGCUGUGCAUCUGAAACACUACAAGGCAUUAUCUCACGGAGCCCCCACUCGGACUCCUUGAAGGCAGGACUGUUGUUGUUUACAUUUUGCAGAGGAGGAAACUGAGGUUCCUGGAGCAGUUAGGCAACGUGGCCAGUGAGGGCAGAGCCUGCAUCCAUGGCCCGGCCCAGCAGCCCCUGACUCUCCAAGAGCGAGAGGGAGGCGCGGCCCAAUGGGGUGUUGCGAGAGCAGCUGUUGUCCGAGCUUCUGGACAGAUGCCUCGGCACAGAGAGUCCAAGGCUGCUAUUUGUGGGUGGUGUGCCUAGGAAUUCCCUUUUGGUGUCUCUGGGAGAGAUCAGGAGGAUUUAAACUGCUUUCCAAUGAUUUGGGAUGUCAGAGUGGUGUUUCUUUUGAACGGCCCCGCGGUGAUGAGACUGGGCCCCGAGGCUGCCCGGUUUUAUUCAGGUUACAGGGAUCCUAGCAGCAACCCCAGUGACCGGAGCAGCUUUCACCAACUGAGUGCUUGGCGCGUGCUCGAUGGACAUAUGUUGCCGGGACCCCAGCACCCACAAGAUGUAGCAGGACAACAAAGCUUUGCUGGACUCAUUUCAGAUGAAGAGACUGAAGGUCAGGGAGGUCCCACAGCUUGCCAUGAGGGACCCCCAGGUUUCUGUGGCUUGCAAGCCCGGAUUCUCAUCACCACCUCACCCAGCUCUUUGAGAGACCCUGUCUGAGCCUUGCUUCAGGAAAGCUACAGAGCCCCAGUCCUCCCACCCCUGCAGUCCGUCAACUGUUCUCAGGUCUCGUACUGAAACCCGGGAGCCCUCUGCACUGAAUCUGCCCCUUCCCCACCUUUUCCUUGCUUACUAAGGAAUCAGAUGGAAGUUGGCCGGAGUUAGCUCAGUCUUGGGGAAUUGGCACUCCAGAGUUGAUGGUUUUUCUGUGUGACCUGAUUCAAACCUUCCUUCUUUGUCCUAUUGGUUCCCAGAGAAAUCUUUGAAGUGGAUACAGCUUUACUGUGUGAUUAUUGGCCGGGUUAAUUCAUAUGUGCAGUUGGUCUCUGUUGCUUAUCUCUGCGAUGGGGCCCCUGGUUCUAGGGGGUUUAAGCAAGCCUCUCAGAGAGGCCAGCGAGAUGCUGAUAUUUCAGAGCUUGACUCUACCGCUGCGUGGCCUUGGGAACGUCAUCUGACCUGUCUGAGCCUUGGCUUCCUCAUCUGUAAAAUGGGUACAUGCAUGUAUCUUCAUGCCUAGCUGUAGGUGGGGAGAAAGAGGUCAUGUUUUUUCUUUUAAAAAGUAACAUUUUCAGGGCACCUGGGUGGCUCUAUUGGUUAAGCGUUGAACUCUUGAUUUCGGCUCAGGUCAUGAUCUCGGGGUUGUGAGAUCGAGCCCCACGUCAGGCUCUGCACUGGGCAUGGAGCCUGCUUAAGAUUCUCUCCCUCUCCCUCUGCCCCUCCCGACCCCCCAAAUUUCCACAAAUAACGUAAGAUUUUUAUCCGUAUACUUUAAGAAAUGUUGGUUAAAAAAAUAUCUCUCCGAACACGUCUGAGCCCCUGCUGUGUGGCCAGCAUCGCACGGGGCCCUUGGAAGACGAUGGCGAUAUCCCACUCGAGGGUGUGUCCUGCACGCUAGGCUCGAGCCAAGAAACUCUUCACCUGCUCAGGCCACCCUACACCAACCCCAUGAGACGUGAGUGACCGGGAUGGCCUUUUCCUGGGUGAGGAGAAGGAGGCCAGAGAGGGGAAGUGACUUGCUGAAGACCUAUCCGCUGGGGGAAACUGAGAGGUCAGGCUCUGGAUGUGGGCCCUUUACUCUCCACGAACAGAACGGAGCCCCGCUUCCAACAGGGGCUCAGCUUGGUGGGGGAGACGCACCCUGGGGACUUGAGUGCUGACUGUAGGGCACCAGGCUUUUAGGGCAUAAAGAUGAACCAGAGGUGGUCCCUGCCUUGGAGGGGACUACAUCUCCUAGGACAGACCGAUGGAAACACCUGGCGGACCAGGGGGCUCGCCUGCCUGUGUAACUGAUCCGUCCCGGAAAGAGCCACUGGGAAAACUCCCAUAGGACCAUAAACUCCCCUCCUUGGUGCAUCAACAUCAGAGUUCUAGGCCCUUUGCUGCGGCUGAGAUGGAUGGUGCAUUUUUUUAUAUCUCAAACCAGAUGCCUCUUGCGUUCUAUUUGAAGCCCAGUUUGCUCGGCCUUCACUGAGCUGUUCUAGGCUGUGGUCUUGAACUAAGAGUUCCAUCUCCUGUUACUCAGACAUGUGAGAAUCGUUUUUAAGCAAUCACCGAGCCCCUCCCCCUUCUAAUCCUGUGCCCAAAGUCCCAAAUGGAAGGACACCUUUCGGUGGCCCUGAGCUCUGGGGUCACCACUGCCACCAAGGCAUCUUCAGAUGGGGGAGGCGUGUCUUGGCAAGAUUGCCAGCCCUCUGCAUCCACCAGACUUCAGAGCCCCGGUCUUCAACCUCUGAGCCCUUCUGGCCAGUACCUGCAAGGCCUCACACCUCCUGUGGGUGUGGGGUGGCGGUGGGAGGGGUGGAGGGAUGCAGGGCAAGGAUCGACCUAGAAGGAGCAGGAGGGCCACCAGCCCAGACCCACAGGCCGAAGAUGGGGAAGGAAGGUGCCGGGUGGAGUGGGAGCCACUCCGAGAGGCCUGUGCCCUGUCUUGCAGCUUUCUACAAGAAAUUCAAGUUCCUCGGUGGCUGAUUUCCACCAUGCUCCCAUGAAAACCUGCAGACAAGAGCCCGCACGUCAUCCUCAAGGACAGGUUUCGCUGAGAAUGUGGCCCAAAGGGCAUCCAUCAAGGACCUGGAUGUGCUCUCUGUUGGCCCCCCCCAUCCUUUGCUUCCCAGGGCAGCGUGUGGGGGCCCAGGACUGCCACCCAUGGGGGCUGUCUCUGCACCCCAGCACCAGCAAGGCUGGGAGGGGGCAGGGAGUCCCCCUCCCCCGCUUCGUUUUAAGGAAAAUAUGGGAAAGCAGGUGCUGCCGCUGGGAAAAAAUAGAGACACAUGCCCUCCCUUCAGUAACUGUAAGUUCUAAAGGAAUUCCUCUCGACACUCCCUCCAGAAAAGUCCCUCCUGCUGCUGUUUGCCCCAAGGCCCAUGUCUGUCCAACAAGCAAACUGGGUUUGUGAAGUAAUACAAGCUCUCAGGUUUUCCAUUAAUCGAGGGCAACAAGGAUACCUGUUCGAAUCCCAUCAUCCCCGGAGUCUGAAGAGGGCAGUGGUUUGAUAGAAUCCCACCCAAAGCAAAGCGACGGGAUGGUGUGUGUAGCUCGUGGUGGCCUGGCCGGCAGUAAAGACGCAGUGACCAUGGGAAAUUGUAAGAGGCUGUAAACAGCAUGGAGCCCCCUCCCCCGCCCCGUAGGUGGCUUUUGAGGGGCCCCCCAGGGAACCCAGUUUGGGAACCGUGGGGCUAAGCCAGCUGGGAUGGAGGUGUAACUCUUUGACAGCCCCGCAGCCACUCCCGCCGCGUCCCCAUUGAGGGAGUCUUCCUGCAGCAGGGGGCUCUGGAGAGCUCUGUGGCUGUCGUGACUGCCGUUUUCUUUGGCUGUGUGACCUUGGGUAGAUGGCUUCCCCUCUCUGAGUUUCUGGGUCUCACUGCCUCCCUCCUGGGUUGUGAGUGCUCUGUAAAGCCUGGGUGUCCUGACUGUUGUCAUCACCUCUCAUCAGGUCCCCUGACUUCCCACAGCCUCCUGCCCUGACCAUGUCACCGGAUGUCUGUGAUGUAAAGGGGGUGCCAAGGGGUAGAAUGCACCUGGAACCUCUCUGUGAAGCCGUCUGUGAUGAGAUAGAGAGCCUGAAAGGGGAGGGAGGAGCCCAGUAGCGGGCGGGCUGGGGACACCUGGAGAUGGUAGUUCUGGGGUGUGUCUGAGCGCUCCCCAACUUUAAUGUGCCCGAGAUCACCUGGGGAUCUUGUCCGAAUGCAGCAGGCCUGGGCAGGGGCUCCCAGGUGAGGCAGCUGCUGGCGCCGCACUCUGGCCCGAGGACGAGGCCGGGCCACCGGCGUCCGGGAGGGAUGGCUCCAGAAAGGCCUGAGAGCCCCAGAACAUCCAUGCCGGGAAAGACGACGGAACAGGAGGGCAAAAUUAUGUCUUCAACAAAAGAAAAGCCCUCUGCCUCCUCGCAUGUAGAAAGAUCUCUGUUCCCACCCCCACGCAGCCCCAGGGGCCCGAAAGAAUGCGGUAUUCUCAGCAAAGCUUCCUUCUCCGAAGGGGGUGGAUUCGCUCUUAAAAAGUUGCCUGUAAAAUGAGUUUUUCUAUACCAAAUGCUAUUUUCCAGCGGUUCGUGUUUUAAGACCAGGGUAGCAUUCCCACUGAGAGAUCUCCAACUCUGAGGCAUUGGCUUUGAGGAUUCGGCCCUCGCCAACUCAAGGGCUGGGGGGGCGCAGCAGGGCCCACGUUCUAGGGGGCUAUGGAACCCAGGAGAGCUGGAGCUGCAGGGUUUGGGAACCACAGUCUGAAUCCUAGAUGGUCCCCUAAUGGUCUGAGGUCCAUGGCCAGACACUGGCCAGGAGCCCUGACCAAUACCACCCAGUGUGAGACUGGCGGGACGGGAGGGACCCAGGGCAAACCAGCCCCUCAACUGGAAGAGGGGCCCAGACAGGCCGUCUGUCAUGGCAGGCUGGCCACCAUGCCUUUGUAUAGAAUACAAUAGGCCACACGCUGCAUGUCGGGCUGGGGGUGUUUUUGUUUUUACACUGGGCACCAUCUUUUAAUGUACUCAGGGAACUUGCUUUCAUGACAGUUUGGCUGUUUCCAAAGAGUGCUCAGAAGUUCUGAGGCCAGAGUUCCACAAAGACUCCCGAGAAAUGCAGGGUUAGGAGAAGGCUAGGUCUCCUUGCCCAGAGGGCUCUGCUGGCCUAUGCAGAGGGGUCUGCCGGAAUCUCGAAUAAGAGACUCAGGUCACGGUCUGCCCACAUUGGACAGACUGUGCUUUUCCGGAGCCUUGUCUGGGAUCAGUACACCACCGAGCACACUUCGGGAACCAAGUCAAUGAAAGGCCCUCAAAACUAAAAAGUCUCCCCAUUCCUGUAUUAGUUACCUACAACUGCAUAACAGAUCACCCCAAACUUAGUGACUGAAAACCACAAGCAUUUAUUCUCGAAGUUUCUGUGGGUAAGGAAUUGAGAAGUGGGGUAGCCUGAUGAUUCCAGUUCGUGGUCGCUUUUGAGACUGCAGCCAAGGUGUUGUUGGGGGCUGCGUCAUCUGAUGGCUUGACCGGAGCUGGGCAAUGGACCCCUAAGAUGGCUCCCUCACAGGGCUGGCAAGAGGGAGAGCUCACUUCCUUGCCACAGGGGCUUCCCCGUAGGGUUGCUUGACAGUCUUUACAGCAUGGUGGCUGGCUCCCCCCAGGGUGCGAGCAAGACAGAAGCCACGGCGCCUUUUAUGACCUAACCUUGGGUCGUUUCAGCAGCAUGCAGUUGGUCACACGGGGCAGCCCUAUUUGCCGUGGGAGGGGCCUACAGAGGUGUGAACAGCGGGAGGUAGGAAUCGUCUGGAGACCAUCUCGAAGGCCGACCGCCCAGUCACCAUCACUUAAAUACAAGAAGGCCAGGAAGCAUGUCUCGUUCACACACUUGGGGUCUUACCAUUGAGGGCCAGUUAGGAACUCUGACAAUAAACCUUCUAACCUGUGAUCUGUGGGGGAGAAGAGCCCAGCAAGCAACCAACACAACAGCAGCAACCGUAUGAAUCCACCCCAUUUGUCGAGUGCUCUCAUGGGCAUCACGGCGCUGAGCAGUCCCUGUCCCCACGCAGCGGCUUCCACCAGUAACUCCAGGUUAGGCCACUCCUUUCUAGGACGCGCCUCAAAUGAGAUGAUUUUGUGACGAGGGCUAGAGCAGCACAAGCCGCUCGGCCUUCUGGAAGUUCAGAGACAGAAUCGGUGACCGGGGUGAACCCGUGGGAGAAGAGUGGAGCAUAAACUUGGGAUGGAUAAACAGAUAAUAAAUAAAGGAGAUAAAAUAUUGAUUUCACAGAUAUGAACAAGAUGCAGGAUCCGGGCAAGCCGAGGAAUCUUGGGUUUACCGGAGCCUCACUGCUGGGAGAAGCAGUCCCAUCUCCAGGCUGGGAGGCAGGGAGGCUGAGCGGUGAGGAGCGGGUACCCGGGCGCCCGAGACGCCUGUAUCCCCAGGCCUGCCCGUUUGCUGUUAGCUGUGCGACCCCAGGCGAGUGACUUCAUGGUCCUCAGUUUCCCCUGUGCAAAACGGGGUGAUGCUGGUGAACCCUCGGGUUGUGUUGAUUCCGAGAGACGAUCCCUGGCCCAGCAUCAGGGCUCUGAAUGCUUUAUCCUGACAAAGCUGGUGGCACCCCAGGUUCAAGGAACAAUUACAGAAGUAUCACUGCCUGGAAGGAGGCUUGCUGUGUGACCAAGAGGGGACCUGGAGCCCCAAACCAGACAUUAGCUAUUGUUUGGGCGACCCCAGAGGGCUGGAAGGAACUCAGCCUCUCCUCCUGCUUGGGACGUGUGCAGGCAUGGAGCCCGCCCAGCCCCUUCCUGUCCUGUCGGGGCAUGAUUUUAACAGAGGAUGUGUGUUUCCCCCCCAGAAGUCUCAGCCCACUGGGCAAGCCAUGGGGAGUUCUGGCUAAAUGUGCUGUCCCAGCAAAUAGACCAGGCACGGACUCUCAAGAAAUGAAAAGCGGGCACCUGUUCCUGACCCUUCCGCCCAGGCCUGGGCUGAUGGAGGGGGUCUGAGUGGCAGGUGCCAACAGCAGGUCUUUGGGUCAGGCUGCCCUGGGAGCACUUUGGCUCCAUCCCUUGGGGCUCUGUGACCCUGGGCAAGUGCCUUAGCCUCUCUGGGCUUUAGUUUCUCCAUCCCUGAAGUCCGGAGAUGGACUCCCCUGCUGGCCCUCGGUCCAUUCUGAAGAGUCUGGGGCUGGCCAGGAAAGAGUCCACAUGGGUGUGCAUGGGCUAAGUCCAAGGACCCCCCCCCUUCCAAUCAGGGCAACUCCAUUUCAUCUCCUUGGUAUGUCGGUGUUCUGAGUAAUACUUCAUGAAAAAGAAGAAGAAGGAGGAGGAGGAGAAGGAGGAGAAGAAAAAGAAGAAAACAUGUCCACAGUGACAACAAUACAGUCUAGAAGUUUCCUACCAGCUUACUCUGUCCUCUGGCUCAUUCCUUCAAGUUCUGUGGGAACAGAGACUCUUCCACGAGCCGGGUUUCGUGACUGCCCAUUUCCAAAUGGUUCUCGGUUUCCUGGGUUUGGGGGUCUCCUCUGUGGGUGCCGUGGGCAGCGGGUCUCCUCCCCGGACACAUGCUGUGGGCAUGACUGUCCCCCCCACAGGCCCUGUGCCUGGGGAGUACCCGAUGGCCCGCCCAACUCUGCCACACCUGCUUCCCGCGGAAGCUGCCUCCGGGUCUUUCCUUCACCUGGGAAGUGAGGAGGCCGUGGACCUGGAUGAUCUCUCAGCCCCUCUUAACUUCAACACUCCAAUCCCUGCAUUAAUAGAGCUCCAGCUGUCUGCAGAGUGGUGUCCGGGGCAUGGAAGGGGCCAACGACCAUCCUGGUAGAAGGAGCCAAGCGGAGCCUGAGGCGGGCCUGGGGACGGCAUGGCUCCUAGUGGCCACCCAGGCCCCAGGAGAAUCCAGUGCCAGGCCCGGCUGCCAGGCUGCCAUUUGAAAUGUCUCCUGUUGGUGGCACUUCGGCGUGGUUCAGGUGUUCUGGUCUUAGAGUAUAUUUGGUUUGUACUUGAAAACAUGCUAGCUCCCUCUCUCUGUGAAGGUUCUUUUUUCACUCGAGGGAAUCACAGGGCCUUGAGCUGGAUCUGACUGUGUCAUUCCCCAGGCAGAACCCAUCCCUGGCCCCUCACCGCCUUCCGAAGAUGGUCUAAGGCUGGGAUGGCCCAAAACCUUCCGGAGCCUGGGACAGGCCAAGCCUUCCCAUCUGAGGGUUCUCCACUCUUUACCCUCUCUCCUUCAGACACGCAGACUGGAACGUGCUGACCUCUCCCUCCCUCUUCUCUUGAGAGCCUCAUGCUUGCUGCAUCCUCUGUCUAGAACAUUCCCUCUCCUUAUGGCUCCUGAAAUAUCACUUCCUCCAGGAAGCCCUCCCUGCCUAACUGAGCCACUUUAUUUAUUUAGUUCAUGCUCACCCUGUACUUCUUUGCAGCACUCAUCAUUGUAAUGAUCUAAAAAACUCCUCUUUAUUUGACACCCCUCUCCCCCGAACGUGGGCUCCGUGAGGACCUCACUCUCUGAUUACCGAGGUCCAGUGCCCAAGGGGAGCUCUGGAAACAUCUGCUGAGUGAAUCCAUGACUGGAGACAGCCUGUUGAUGAAGGUUGGUAACCCGGUGCCAGCCAGGGCUGCCAGCCGUUCACCUGCCCAGCCCACUCCGAGCCCGGGCACGCCGGUGACCACCCCGCUCCGCGCUCCCGCCCCAAGCCUCCGCCUGGAAGGACGGAAGGGGUUAAGUGUUUCUGGCGGCCUCGUGCUGUGUCUGCGGCAGUUCCCUCUUCCGGGGCUGCAGCAACCGAGGUUGGCGAGGAAUGUUUGCAAUGCAGAGCUAGGAGGGAGGGCGGGCUGGUGGAAGCCGAGGCCUGUGGAGGCCGGUUGGGCCAGGCUCCCCAGUUGAGCAAUCGCCCGGGCCCCGGCCGGUUCCUGUAACUCCUGCCCCUCCCGCCUUUUCCCGCCUUGCCGGCUUCCUCCACCCGCCUGCCCGGCAGUGGGGGCGGCGCGUCCUCAGGAGCGGGCAGAGGGAGGCGGAGGGCUGGAGGCCCCGAGCGCUUGGAGGCCAGAGGCGAAAGGGAGGGGCUUCCAAGGAGAGAGAGAGAGGAGUACCGUCCGCUCAGCCACCUUGGCCCAGAGAGGGUAGGGCCUUUGCCCAAGGUCACACAGGGAGGCCCCACUGAAUUGGACCACACCCCGGAUUCAGCCUUUUUUGUUCCCACGGCACCAGGCCACAGCUCCACAGGGCAUGGAGGUCACCGAGCCUCUCAGAUGGGACGCUGUCUCCACUGAAGGCGAAGACCUUCACCCCUCGCCCCCCACCCCGGGCUGGCUCUUCACGCGAGCCCUCGGGGCUCAGAGAGGAAGGUGGCUUUCACUGGGCUGGGCGCGCCCCCCACCCCCGUCACCUCCCUAGGAUUGCCCACUCCUUAGCCAGUCCUGGGGACACUGGUCACCUCCCUCCUCACCUCCGGGAGUGUGGAAUGAAUGGAUGGAGGGCACACAGGAGCUGGUUCUCCAAAGCCCCCUUUCCUUCCUCAUUCCCAUCACCUUGGAGGAACGCCCUUCACGGUACCGCCCCGGCGCUAAGCGAAUUUCUUUUUCCACAAGCACACACCUUCUCUGGGAGAUGCAGCAUUCCCCGGCACCCCAGAAUGGGCUCUGUCCACGGACAGUAUUUACAAGGGACGUCUGGGGAGGCAGCCGCUGCAGUCAUUCAGACCAGAUUUGAAUCCCAGCUCCACCUCCUUCCAACUUCGUGGCCGUGGCACAUUGAACCGAGCCUCAGUUUCCCUCUCUGUAAAGUGUAAUGAAGGCGGGGAGGGGGGAAGGGGGAGCAGCAGCUGCUAGGCUCUGGGCCACCCGCCUUUCCUGGUCCCACAGACAUUCGAUCCAUUUGGGGCUUGCUCGGUCUGUGCCCCCACCCCUGCUCCAGGCCCUGGGCUUUGCCUAAGCUGUCGGAGGAUGAUGGGCUCGGCAGCCCUCCGAGCUGCUGCCUUGGCCACAUCUGGGGGAAACAGCAGCGGUACUGGGACUCCACGUGUCUGGAGGGCGGGGCAGGGAUCCCUGUGAGCGAGACAUUCCUAGGAGAGUCAAACACCUUUUUACAGGAAACAGAGAGGUUGAUGCACUUGCCCGGGGUCACACAGCUUGGAAGGAGUGGAGGCUGACUUUGAAUUCAGGCCCCCUGCCUCCAGAGCCUGUGCUCUUGGCCAAUCUUCACACCUGGCUUGGGAUCCUGGCCCUGCAGAGAGGGCUAGGCCACUGUGGCUGAGCUGCUCAAGCCCCAGAGUCACAAAGUGAGGGAAGAAUCUUCAGCACCCACUGGGGGCGGGCAGGCGCUGUGCUGAAGGAUCACUGCCACCGGGUGAGGGGAGCUCAGAGGGGCCAAGCCUCUUGCUCUGGGGCACACAGCCAGCCGAGCCAGGCCCCAUGCCCCGGCUGAUGGUGGCUCCGCGUCCCUCCCUGCUCCCUGUCCGUGGUCCACCAAGGCCACGGCCGGCAAGGACCCCCACAGCCGGCUGCGCGCCAGCGGACAGAUGGACAGACGACGGCCGCCCCCUUCCAGGGCCUGCGGGCUGCGCGGCUUCGCCACCUCCUCGCGAGCAGGUUUCCUUUAAGAAACCAGAAGAUUGAUUUCCUGGCAGGCUCUGCGCCGAGGAGCCCGUCCAAAUGGUCGUGAUCUCAGGGUCCUGGGAUCGAGCCCUGCAGCGGAAUCCACACUCAGCACAAGUCUGCCUGGGAUUCUCUUCCUCCCUCUCCCUCUGCCCCUCCUGCUUGUACUGUCUCUCUCUCUCCAAUAAAUAAAUAAAAUCUUUAAAAAGAAUCCCUAUUCUAAGUUCUUUCAAGUUGUCACCAGUGGGCUUUCUUUUUAGUUGCAUUUAUAAGAAAAAGAUUAAACUAUCAGAUGGGGGUUGUCAUUGGAACAGUUAAGAGUCACAGAUGCUGGGUAUUCCUGGGCAAGUGACUUCAUCUCUCUGAGCCUCAUUUUUCCUCCUGGGGCCAUGAGAAUAAUGAUGUUGCUUCCCUUCUGGGGCCACUGAGGAUUCCACGCUAUUCCAUGAUGUCCCUGAGAUGGUCCGCCCAGUGGCGGGUGUUUGGUGAGCACUCAGCACCCAGCAGCCCUUAGUGCUGGCAAAUAAUCCUCAGGCCUUUGGGGUUUGGGAAUAUGAGAGCACGGGCCCUACUCAGUGGAGAUAAGACCCGUUGCCCCACCCUGUACAUGGGGAAAUUGAGGCCAGGAGGCAUCAAGGGACUUGUCGAAGGUCUGUUGGUAUCCCUUGAACCAGAAGGUGGUUUUCCAAAUCCGUAUCGGUUAGCAAGGCUGGGUUAUGCUGCGGUCACAAAUGAGCUCCAUGUCAAAGUGUCUCAACACAAUAAAAGUUUGUUUUGCAUCCAGCAUGGUCUGCUGGGAGUCCAAGGGGUUCUCCAGGGCAACUGCCCUCCAGGAGAAAGCCCAGGGAGCCAGGCUGCCUCUGUGUUGCAGUACUUCCAUCCCUGGGUCACUGAGGCAGGGAAAACAGCAUCCCACCCCUUCCUCCCUCAGUUUACGGGCCAGCACUGGCCGCGUGGCCUCCCCCUCCGCGAGGGUGGGAGGUCCCAAGGAGAGAACCAGCUAUGGGUGAGUAUCAA